UUCAGAGAGAAUGUGGCAUUUCUUAUCUGAUAAGUUCAACCUGCAAUGAGUUUACAGAAGCUGGGAGGAUACAAUUUGCUGGACGGCCCAAUGCUUUAAAGGGAAAUCCCUUCUGAGUAUGAAUUGUAAACUCAUGCUAGUUACAACAUUCUAUUGAACUUGGAGAGAAAGGAAAUCAAGAACCUUUGGUGAUAGAGCUUGUUAAAUUUGGCAGAGAUUGCAGAUGGGCCUUUACUCUUUGACUCCCAAAAGGAUUUUCCUCGCUUAACUGCUUUAAGCAUAAGAUCUGAUGGACAUAGAAGACAUGGACCUCCCGGGAGAAGUUCUGCCUCAAGAAGAAGAAAGGAGGAUGAAAAUGAGACACCUCAAUCAUCCGAUAGUAAAAAGUCCAACUCAUCUAACCAGGAAGAGAUAAUUGCUCUGUUCCGACGAAUUCAGUCUUCAAUCUCAAAGGGAGAGCCUCUAAGUACGAAGAAGAGAAAUUCCAACUUGUCUGAGGAUAAGUCCUCCCCUGAAUCAAUUCUGGACGUUCUUCGCAAUUCAAGGAAGCAAGUGAAAGACAAAACUUCAAACAAGGAAGGUGAUAGGUUAUUGACAAGAAGAAGAGGUGUGCCCAAGAAAGAACAGGCAGAACAGAACAGUCCACAGGUGGCAGAGUUAAAGUCAACCCGGCCGCCGUCUAAAUUUGUGAAGAGAUCCCCAAUACCAUCUUCAUCAACCCCAGGAGGAAACAUACUUGAGUUGAAUGAUGAAGCAUUGGCGGCUAGAGCUGGAAGCAAGGAGUUGAAUUUGCCGAGAAUAGAGGAAAUGAAACUAACAGAGCUUAAAGAACUGGCAAAGUCUAGAGGAAUGAAGGGGUACUCAAAACUGAAGAAGAGCGAGCUCGUAGAAUUACUGAGGUCCGAAAACAAUGGGAAGUUUUCCUGAGAUGAGAGAAACAUAGAAUCCAAAAGCUUGAAGUUAUAAAGCACUGACAAAAGAAGGUGAUCUUUCUUGGAGGUCCUCUGUUUUUGGUUUUUAGUGUCUCGUUGGUUAACAGCUCUAAUUAUCAUGACUUUUAAAUUUAGCUACAUGAACAUAUUCUACUGUACCGAAUUUCCUGUAGUUUAAUGGCAUCAUGUGCAAGCUGCCAACGGUCCUUUUUUCUCCCUCUCGGAACUUCAAAUGUCUAUUUUGCUAGUUUUAUCUAUCGUAUGGUUCCUUUUCUUUGUA